rnacentral:rRNA from 1 species
GAGUUUGAUCCUGGCUCAGGAUGAACGCUAGCGGCAGGCCUAACACAUGCAAGUCGAGGGGUAUAAGUAGCUUGCUAUUUAGAGACCGGCGCACGGGUGAGUAACGCGUAUGCAACCUACCCUGUUCUGGGGGAUAGCCCGAAGAAAUUCGGAUUAAUACCCCAUGGUAACUUUGAAUCGCAUGGUUUAAAGUUUAAAGGUUACGGAACAGGAUGGGCAUGCGUCCCAUUAGCUAGAUGGUAAGGUAACGGCUUACCAUGGCGACGAUGGGUAGGGGGUCUGAGAGGAUGGUCCCCCACACUGGUACUGAGACACGGACCAGACUCCUGCGGGAGGCAGCAGUGAGGAAUAUUGGUCAAUGGACGCAAGUCUGAACCAGCCAUGCCGCGUGCAGGAUGAAUGCCCUCUGGGUUGUAAACUGCUUUUAUCAGGGAAUAAACCUCUUUACGUGUAGAGAGCUGAAGGUACUUGAUGAAUAAGCACCGGCUAACUCCGUGCCAGCAGCCGCGGUAAUACGGAGGGUGCAAGCGUUAUCCGGAAUCAUUGGGUUUAAAGGGUCCGCAGGCGGAUUUAUAAGUCAGUGGUGAAAUCUCUCGGCUCAACCGAGAAACUGCCAUUGAUACUGUAAGUCUUGAAUUCGGUCGAAGUGGGCGGAAUAUGACAUGUAGCGGUGAAAUGCAUAGAUAUGUCAUAGAACACCGAUAGCGAAGGCAGCUCACUAGGCCUGGAUUGACGCUCAGGGACGAAGCGUGGGGAGCAACAGGAUUAGAUACCUGGUAGUCACGCCGUAACUAUGA